rnacentral:tRNA from 1 species
UGGGGUAUAGCUCAGUGGUAGAGCAUGUGCUUGGCAUGCUCGAGGUGCUGAGUUCAAUCCCCAGUGCCUCCG